AGGUAGGGGUCAGGUAGGUAGGUAGGGGUCAGGUAGGUAGGUAGGGGUCAGGUAGGUAGGUAGGGGUCAGGUAGGUAGGUAGGGGUCAGGUAGGUAGGUAGGGGUCAGGUAGGUAGGGAGGGAGGGGUCAGGGAG